rnacentral:rRNA from 1 species
GUCGAGCGGUAACAGGAGAAGCUUGCUUCUCGCUGACGAGCGGCGGACGGGUGAGUAAUACUUAGGAAUCUACCUAGUAGUGGGGGAUAGCUCGGGGAAACUCGAAUUAAUACCGCAUACGACCUACGGGAGAAAGGGGGCAACUUGUUGCUCUCGCUAUUAGAUGAGCCUAAGUCGGAUUAGCUAGAUGGUGGGGUAAAGGCCUACCAUGGCGACGAUCUGUAGCUGGUCUGAGAGGAUGAUCAGCCACACCGGGACUGAGACACGGCCCGGACUCCUACGGGAGGCAGCAGUGGGGAAUAUUGGACAAUGGGGGCAACCCUGAUCCAGCCAUGCCGCGUGUGUGAAGAAGGCCUUUUGGUUGUAAAGCACUUUAAGCAGUGAAGAAGACUCCAUGGUUAAUACCCAUGGACGAUGACAUUAGCUGCAGAAUAAGCACCGGCUAACUCUGUGCCAGCAGCCGCGGUAAUACAGAGGGUGCAAGCGUUAAUCGGAAUUACUGGGCGUAAAGCGAGCGUAGGUGGCUUGAUAAGUCAGAUGUGAAAGCCCCGGGCUUAACCUGGGAACGGCAUCUGAUACUGUUAGGCUAGAGUAGGUGAGAGGAAGGUAGAAUUCCAGGUGUAGCGGUGAAAUGCGUAGAGAUCUGGAGGAAUACCGAUGGCGAAGGCAGCCUUCUGGCAUCAUACUGACACUGAGGUUCGAAAGCGUGGGUAGCAAACAGGAUUAGAUACCCUGGUAGUCCACGCCGUAAACGAUGUCUACUAGUCGUUGGGUCCCUUGAGGACUUAGUGACGCAGCUAACGCAAUAAGUAGACCGCCUGGGGAGUACGGCCGCAAGG